GGAAUAUUGCGCAAUGGAGGAAACUCUGACGCAGUGACGCCGCGUGCAGGAUGAAGGUUUUCGGAUUGUAAACUGCUUUAGAUAGGGAAGAAACAAAUGACGGUACCUAUAGAAUAAGCUCCGGCUAACUACGUGCCAGCAGCCGCGGUAAUACGUAGGGAGCAAGCGUUAUCCGGAUUUAUUGGGUGUAAAGGGUGCGUAGACGGACAUGCAAGUUGGCUGUGAAAUCCCGAGGCUCAACCUCGGAACUGCAACCAAAACUACAUAUCUUGAGUACUGGAGGGGAAAGCGGAAUUCCUAGUGUAGCGGUGAAAUGCGUAGAUAUUAGGAAGAACACCGGUGGCGAAGGCGGCUUUCUGGACAGCAACUGACGUUGAGGCACGAAAGUGUGGGUAGCAAACA
rnacentral:rRNA from 1 species